GCAUUGUAGACAGACACUUUACCGUCUGAGCUACCAGGGAAGUCCAUAACAUGACACCAGGACCCCCUAGAUUCCACCACCCUCCACUCUACUCAGCCAUCCAGGCAUACAGCCAGAGGUAUUCCUUUUUUCUUCCUUUUAGGGUGCCUCCCUAGCAUGCCCACACCUCCCCAGAUAUCAGGUGAUCAAUUUCCCUUUCAGUUCUUCAGUUUGGACCCAGCCAUUCUGGGCGGCUCGCCUAGGGAAUGUUCCUGGAACAAGCACAAGGAGGUGGAGCGGAGAGACGUGCAGAGCUCUCACUCUCACUACCCCGUGCACCCCCAGUUUCCCAUUUCCAGGGGGGUAGGGGCUCCAGGCCACAUCCUGGAGUGAUCUCCCUCCCCUGUAGCUCGUCUCUCCGUGUAUGCCACCAGGGCUGGAGUCCUGGGUGUGUGGAACACUACUAGUCUAGACGGCUACAGAUCAGAAUUCAAGAGAACUGUAUUUUCUGCUAUCGGGGAAAGGGAAGCGCUGCCAGCGUGGCCGGAGGGCAAAAGAGUGGUGCAAGGGAGGCUAGGAUGGGAGGGUGGGCCAGGGAGCAGGAAGACGGAAGGCCUGCGUUCCGGAAAGAGGAUAGGGUAGAGGGGCGGAGAGCCAAGAGCCCCGGAGCCGGGAAGCCAAAGCCUGGGUCCCAGAGAACAAAACUCGAGCCCACCUGGCUUCCCCCACCUCAUCCCCGCCUCCAGGUGGGCAGGACGACAAACCGAGGCAGGACGUCUAUUCCUCGCACCCUGAACGAUCCCCUCCCACACACUGCCCUCCCCGCCUGCCGCCGCUCCACUCCGGGAUGCACGUGGACGGAGGGUCUCGGAGACAGGCGACCCCUGCCGCCUCCGUCCGCCAGCAGGCCCCAGACCCCCGUUCCUCGCGCGAGUUCCCUGCGGCAGUGAUUCGGACCCUGAGAUAGCGACCCGUGAGCUCCCCCUGGCUCCGGACGGUCCCGCCGCCCCCUAGUCACCUCCCUCUGGCCCUACAAAUGCGCCCACUCCCCGCCGCUUCUGCCGAAAGCGAUUUCCAGCUGCUCUUCCUUCCGAGGCCGGCUCGCCCACCCGCCCAGAUGCAGUGGAAAAAGCAAGAGAGCUGGAAGUGGAGCCUGAAGAUCUGACUGAAUUGCUAUAAUCUCGAGAUAAAACUAAUGCAUGAAGAGUCUUUUAUUCCAGAUUCCACAAACAAGGAAACAAAGACUAACAGUGUUAGUCUUUCUCUGACUUACUUUACUUAGCAGAAUACCCUCAACUUCCUGCAGUCCGUGUUGUCACAGACAGCAAGAUGUCCUUUAUUGUGUAAAGUCCAUACAUUUUUUUAGACAUAAUGUUACUGCACACCUAAUAGGCUUCAGCACAGUAUAAAUAUAACUUUUACAUGCACUGGGA